GGCCGGGCGGGCGCGGCGGCGCGUGACGCUGUGGCGUCGUGGGGCCAGGCGGUGGCCGCAGGGCGGGAGGGAAAAAUAAACCGAGGGUUUAAAGUUACGCUUAAAGCUACGUCCCGCUGGGCCCUGCGCUCCUCGGCCUGGCGCGGCGCCUUCCCGCGCUGGCUGCUCGGGGACGGGUUCCCGCGCGGGUUCGGAAGCAGGACGGCGCGGAGCAGAGCCCUGGAGCAUCUGCCCUCCGCGUCGCGAGGGGCCACGAAGGCCGCGUGACACCGGUGCCGGGCGCUGCGCGCUGCGGGAGGACUGCAGGGGCAGCCUGCAAAGCCGAGGCUGGGAAGGAAACCUGCAGGUCCACUGAGUACACCGAGCUGUGGCUCCGUGAGGUUUAUGAAUACUUGUUUCUUCCCGUUAGCCACUUGCUAUUCCACAGACCAGACUCUGCCUCUGGCUUCCCCUGGGAUAUGAGCACUGCUGUCUUGGCCUCCUCGCCUGUUGACAUGUCUUCUUCUCAACACCUACCAUUCCCUUUUCUUGCUGACUAUCAUGCAGUAUUAUGCAUUCUGGUCAUUACCUUGUAAGAAGGAAGAUGUUGGAAACAGGAAAUGUACUCUAGAAAAAGUAUCCAGCAAGACAGAGCUGAGACCAUGAGCAGCUGAAUCUCCCAGCAGUGGCAACAGGCAUAGCAGAAGCCAUUAAAAGCAGUCUGAGGCAGAUAAAAAAUAGAGGUGGACAAUAUGUUGGAAAGAACUUUGUAUAAACAAUGAGUAGUUGCGAACAACAAAAUCCAGUUCCAAGUUGCAAUGAAGAGCCGUAUGUUUUGAAGACCCUGUGAUUGUCAGGCAACAAAAAAGUAUGUUCUAGUCAAUGGUCAGCAACCCUGCAUAAGGAUCUGUCUGAGUGGUUCCUCAGUCAUGACCCUGUCUUGUUAUACUUGGGCGUAUGGUUGAGACCGGAUCCAGGGAGAAAAUAAAGGAGAAAAAAGGGAGAAAAAUGAAAAUUUGAAGGCAAAAGGACCGUGAUGACUGGCCUGCCCAAUUGACUUCCCAGGGAAGAGGGAUGUGAUGCUGGUGCUGAAUGGAGUUCACAGUCAGAGGAAACGGUGCUGACAGUUUCAACCACUGCUAUCAAGUCAUCACCACUGUAGUGGGAUGCAGCAUACUGAGCAAAAGUUUGGAAACAGAGAAGAGUUUUGCCAGGACUUUCAAAAAGUUGAGCGGUUUGGUAAUAUCGUCGCAAAAGCUACUUUCACACCUUUACUCUGAAAAAGUUAGAAGCUGUCUCCAAGCUCCGCACUCUUUCUGGACCCUUCCCUGUGCUGAGGAGGGCUCCCUCACCCCAGCGAAGCUGCGCGGAGGCUUGUGGUGCCGGGGUUGUGCUAAUGGCUUAGGUUCCCUUGCUUGGAGAAUUUUCCUGCAAGCCAGUCCAGCUGUUUUGCACCAGGUUAUUCAAAAAAGCAGGAAAACUGACAGUUCCCCAGUGACGUUUUUAUUAUGGAUUCCAAUCCCUUAAGCUACGUUGGGUCUUCUCGCAUUAAGUUAUAUUUUCAUAUUCAACACAAAGACUAAAUCAGCAGGCAUUCUAGAAUAUAAAGCAGCAUUAUGUGAAGAACGUAAAGAAACACAGGAAGUCACUUUCAUCUAAUACUGAAAUUUGUUAAGAGGACUGAAGAAUCCGUAGUUGUCAGAAGACAGCAGAGGGAAUGGAAGACAUGCCGAAUUUCCUAAUAAGUUAGUCUGGUGGCAAUGAUGGUUCUGCUGUUCCCUAUGUGGUGGAGGAUGCUUCAGGAUCAGGAGGAGGGUAAAACAACAUGCCAGCAAGAGAGAUAUUUGGAUCCAGAGAGCAAGUUUGGUUUCUAAGAUUUUCCAGAUUUUUGUGAUGCCCUGAGAACUGCAAGAGUAAUUUUCUCACCAUUUUCUGUGCAUUUCAAGAUCUUACCGCCUAUCCCACAGGAAGAAGAGGAAAAGACUGAGCACGACAUGUAUCACCAGCUUAUUGUAAAGCAAACAAGGAAAAAGGAUGGAGAGAAGGAAAUCUCCCAUUGCCAACUGAAUCUCUAUGCUGAUCAUCUGUGAGAGUGACAAAUUAAGACUUUUCUGGAGGAAUGAGAGAGCCAGCAAGAAAGGCUCUCUAGCCUCACUCAGAUGAUUGCUUGAAAAUGAGAGAAAAAAGAGAUAUCUGAUAAUUGAUGAAAUCAUUGUUCAUUUUUGGCACCUGAAGUUGAUGGACUGGGAGACUGCAUGCCAAAGAUGGUCGUCAUAAUAUGCCACUUCAUCAUAAGGAAAUCCGGUUUGAGAGCAUUCUGUGAGGCCACAAGCAUGGCAAGUCAGAGAUGCUGGGGAGUUGCUUCGGAAGUGCUGAUCCAAAAGGACUGCUGAAAAUGCACCCAAAGAGCUCUAAUGUGGUCAUCUCCCUCUAACUGGAACUCCCAUGUGCAGGUGUAUAACCUACAGAGGAAAAAGGAAGUUCUACCCUUCCCCACUUAAAAAGACCCAGAGAAAAAGAGGAGAAGCAGAAGGAACCUUCCCUGUGGCACACGGAAGAGAAUGUUCUGCAAGUUGUCUCAAGGGACCUUCUGUGAUUUUUAAAGAGCUCCAGAUCACUAAUAUGAGGGCAACCCAUUCUCACUUCCAGCCACAAAAGCAGGAAAAGGAAAUGAAGGAACAGACGAGGCUGUGGGCAAGG